CCAGGACUUAUCAGCUGGCAUAGGCCUCAUUCACAAGACACCUCUGUAUUUGGAAGACAGCCUGACAGGUUUCUCCGGAAAAGUGGCCAUCCAUGGAAUGAAUGAAAUGUUCCCUUUCUAUUCCAGAACUUGACAGGACCUGCUUGAAUGUGGCCACACUCAAGAGUGACUGGAUCUGUCCUGACAAGGUUCCAGCCGCUAGUUCUUAGUCCUCAUUCUGCAGCACUUUCUUCAUACUUCAGUUUUGAGUGGUGCCCAAAAUCUGAAAAUUAUAUACAUUUCUCUGAAAAUCACUUAUUGCUCUGCAGAAAACAAAGAGGAUAACAUCAAGUUAAUUUACGUUUAUACAAUAGUAUAGAU
rnacentral:lncRNA from 1 species